rnacentral:lncRNA from 10 species
UAAAAUCACUGAUAUUUAAAAAAUUUCUGAAAGUAUACAUGUGAAAAUGUGUUACUACUGAGGACUUGGAGCUUAAAGUUGAUAGGUACUAAGCACAAAACCAUGUUAGAAGCCCGGAAUGGAAGUGGCACUAUCAAAGCCUUUCCUAGGGCAGGAGUGAAAGGCAAAGGACCUGUUAAUAAAGGAAACACAGGCCUCCAAAAUAAAACAUUUCACUGUGAAAUCUGUGAUGUGCACGUCAACUCGGAAACGCAACUUAAACAGCACAUUAGCAGUAGAAGGCACAAAGACAGAGCUGCUGGGAAGCCCCCGAAACCUAAAUACAGUCCUUACAACAAACUACAGAAGACAGCACAUCCACUGGGGGUAAAAUUAGUAUUUUCAAAAGAACCUUCAAAGCCAUUGGCUCCACGAAUUCUACCAAAUCCUCUAGCA